rnacentral:rRNA from 3 species
GACGAACGCUGGCGGCGUGCCUAAUACAUGCAAGUCGAGCGAAGUUUUUCUGGUGCUUGCACCGGAAAAACUUAGCGGCGAACGGGUGAGUAACACGUAAAGAACCUGCCUCAUAGACUGGGACAACUAUUGGAAACGAUAGCUAAUACCGGAUAACAGCAUUAACUGCAUGGUUGAUGUUUAAAAGUUGGUUUUGCUAACACUAUGAGAUGGCUUUGCGGUGCAUUAGCUAGUUGGUGGGGUAAAGGCCUACCAAGGCGACGAUGCAUAGCCGACCUGAGAGGGUGAUCGGCCACACUGGGACUGAGACACGGCCCAGACUCCUACGGGAGGCAGCAGUAGGGAAUCUUCCGCAAUGGGCGAAAGCCUGACGGAGCAACGCCGCGUGAGUGAAGAAGGAUUUCGGUUCGUAAAGCUCUGUUGUUAGGGAAGAAUGAUUGCGUAGUAACUAUACACA